CUCAGCUCUGGCCUGCAUGCUGCAGAUGUCAGAGGAGGUUCUGGAUGAGUUGGACCUGCUGAAGUACAACACAUCAGUGCAGGGACGACAGAGAUUGAUUCCAUCUGUGAGGAACUGCAGAAAGGCUCGAUGGAAGUGAUCUCUGUCAGAGAUAGGUGGUGGUGUUGAGAGAGGGUCAGCUCUGUCCACACAGUCUCUGCAGACACACUGAAACUCCACCACUCCUUCUCCUCCACACUCAGCCACGUCCUCCACCUGGACCUGGACUCUAGCACUGUCGCCACACAGCAAGAAGGUCAUGGGUUCAAACCCCGGUUGCCCCAGACUUUCUGUGUGGAGUUCGCAUGUUCUCCCUGCCCACGUGGGUUCUCUCAAGGUGCUCCGGCUUCCUCCCACCAACCAAAGACAUGAAGUCUAGGUUAAUUGGUGUCUCUAAAAUUGUCCUUAGGUGUGAGUGGUUGUUUGUCUAUGUGUGGCCCUGUGAUGUGUGUGCCCCGUCUUUCGCCCAAUGUCAGCUGUCCAGCCCCCUGCGACCCAGUACGCAGGGUAAGCAGUUGACAAUGGAUGGAUGCAUAACUUGUUUAAAUGUUUUCUGUUGCAGCUCUGCCUUGUGGAUUAAUGAAGAAUUGCAAUUAAUUUCGACAUUAUAGUUCUAACAAACGUGAAAACAAAUAUUAUAACUCACAGACACAUGAAGAUAGUAUCAUAGUAUCAUUGUUAUUAAUGCAAGAUUAUAUCUAUUAACUUUUUUAAAUAGUGUAUUUUACUAGUAAAUCCAAAGAUUGUUAAUGCAGAAAACUGAACUAAAGAACUGCAAAGUCUGGAGAUAAUUAUCUGUGGGUUUGACACUAUCAUUGUUGGGCAAGUUACUUAUUACGCCUUAAAAAAUUGUAAGUAAUAUUACUUUACUGGGUGAUAAAAAUAACUAUUUACGUUACUAUAUUACUUUCACUAACACCUCCUCCCUUCCCCCCAAAACAAAGCAGACUCUUCCGACUCACGACUUUUUAACUAAUAUUAUAAUCACAACAGCAGUGUGGAGUAUUUUUUUACAAAACACAUAACGUUUCUUAAUGCAACCGGCUGAAAUAAAAAAAAUAAAGUAAGUAAAUCCCAACUUUUGAUCUUUUUCUGCACAUGCAUUUAUAAAAGGAGUAUUCAGUACUUUUAAAGAACAUAAAACAUUGCUUAACGCCAUGCUUUCUCUCGUUGAGUGCAUGCAUCACUAGCAGCAGCGACCAGAAUUUGUUUCUAUAAGUUUCACAUUGCUGUGCUGCUUUAACAGAUGCUUCAAUCCAUAUCAACUGAUCACAGAUAUCAUUGUAUAUGUUGGAUUAAGUGAUCCUUAUCAAAAUGUUAAUUUAUGUUAUUAUGAACUGAUAUUUCAUAAUCAGAUUUUCUGAGAGUUUAAAGUCCUGCUAUUGUUCUUUAUAAAGUUUGACUCGAUGUGGGAGAGGAGACAAGUGAAACAGUAAUACAUGACCAGCAACUAAAUUCAUUUUACAGUUCUGAAAGAAGUCAGACAGACAGAUAGCCAGAGUUUUUAACUGGUAGUGCAAGUAUAACAUAAACUGUAGAGUGGUGUUUGUAUUUGUACAACAAGGUAAAUUACAUGGCUGAAGAUUUAGAAUAACCACAGUCUAUACAUACACAGGUAUGUAUAUCCAAGUGUGUACUAUAUCUGUAUUGUAGUCACACUUGAAAUGUUGUUGAAUAUCAAAAUGUUAAAAUAAGAUCUAUCUUACUUGAGUCUCAUCAGUGUCCUGGUACCUGUGUUACCUGAGCCAGACCUAGGGGUAAUCUGGACCGGCAGCAAAGGUUACACAGCCACUGUGGAUUAAUAAAGAGAUGAGUUAGCGUCUUGCUCAAGCCAGAGCUUGUUUAUUUCUGACUACUAGUACUAAACAUUCCACAAAUAAACAACAAAUGAUGUAAGCAACUGACAAUAUACUAUAUAAAGCAUUCUGCCUUAUGGAAAAUAUGUACACAAGGCAUUGCUCUGGUUUGUGUUGUGCAGUCGUGUUACAAUGGAAGAGGAUGUUGUGUGCAUAAAUGUAUAAAUUGACAAUAUAUAAAAAUAAAAACAA